CGUUCCCCAUGUCUCUCUCCCCAAACGAUACCCAAGUGGUGUUUGACGCAUCAGAAAUUAGCUAUGGCGGCGAUGGCGGGCAAGGCCAAGAGCGGAAGGCAAUUGAUCUGGCGGAUGGGUGGAACUUCAAGUAGAAGGGCAUCAUCUAGAAGCUCAUCAACAUCCUCGAGCGGAAGCUGGAGCUGCAGUUCAGUACGUUCCGCCCCUGUUUUUCUCUUUUUGUCGUGCAGCACAAAUUGGGAGCCCUCGCCAUGGCCACCAAUAUCCAUCUACGGGUUUGAGGAAGAUUUGGAUAACUAGGUUGAUUUAUGUGAAAAUUCAAAAUUCUGUACACUUCGCGCAAAGUUGUUUGCCUGCAGACCAUUGCUACAGAUGCAACCAAAUUAAUUUACCAUGUAUGUUCUACACAUUUUCAUUUUAAUGGUUUUAUGUCAUAUGGAGCAAUGUUUUCCUUAUGAUGAGAUUGUGUUGGUUGUAAAUAGGCAUCACAAAUGGGCAUAGUUGAAUUAAAGUUUUAGGUAUGAGCUACUUCAUUAUGUAUUUUGGCUACUGCUCCCUGCCUUAUGUAGAUUCAGUAUAUUCCUAUCUUUAUGCCAAGUGAAUAUUCUCUCUGCCUUGACUAAUCCUAGGAUGCAGCAUGUGCUUGAUGAUCCAGCUACAGAUUGGACAAGAGCUGUUUUUUUGGUCGGUGAUGGUUUUUCUCUGUUUUGUGAAGAUGUGAAAAAUAUUUAGCAGGUGUUUUUUUUGGUUAUGAUUUCAAGCAUGCAAUGCAAUAUCUAGCAGUCCCAUUGAAAGAACUAUUUACUUUCCCCUUGCAAAAUGGUCACUGUAUUUGACAGGUAAGAAUAAACACAAUUUAGCAUCCAGUAGAUGUGAACCCUAUUUCACUUUUGCCAAAUGUCUUUAGAGUUUCAGUCACUAACGUUAAUUAACCAUUUUUUAUCUCCAUAUAGGGCUAUAUUUGUCAGCAUGUUCAACUUGUGAAACUGACAUGCUAACAUCCUUCUUUAUCAAUGAAAAUUGUGAAGCUUCUCCAAGACUUUUGAAGAAAAAAAAGGUUAGUGUACAUGUUUCUUAAUUUUAAAGAAUUGCCGCCGACCGCAAGUGUAUUGGUGGUCAUCUCAAGAUCUCACCCAUGGAACAACAUCGGUUUUCUAUAUCGCUGAUCACCUAUGCCUUAAGAAUUCCAGUUGAUGUAUUCUCGCCGUAUUAGUUCUCAUGCUGGACAUUCAACUUUGGUCUAUCUUCUUUCAUGAUUAAACAUUCUGGGCCGUAUACGACAGUUGAUACAAUCCUAUGUUGUCCUGAACUAACUCCGGUGUAUAGGAACGUUGAUCAUGGGAGAAUGCAGCAGAACUGAAAAAUAAUUAGCAUACUUACACUUAGCCACCACUUACCAGCUUAAACCUGAAUGUCUUAAGUAUUUUUUGCAGUUUAACAUGGCACAUACGUACUAUAUGCAGUUUAGCAUGGUUCUCUUACUUCAUUAUUGGUUGUGAAGGUCACAACUACGUACACCUGGCAAAUGAACUUGGUGGGUAAUAUAGAUCUUCCAAUUAACAAAAUUUGUUGAAUCUAAAUGGAAACUGAAUAUAGUCCAUAUUUUACAUUACUUAUUAUUAUGUGGUUUUCUAGAUUUUUUAGGUCUGUGUAGUGAUGACUUCCUCUAAAUAUUGCUCACCAUUUUUGUCCUUCUUUUGGUCUCUCACACAUGUAAUCUUAAAGGACUGGAUUGACACCAAGGCAUAUCCGUUUCACCACAUUAGCCUCCCAAUGGCAUUCACUGUGGAAUAUAUAGUGUAGUAACUCUUCAUUAGAUCGUAUUGAUCUUUGUCCUUAAACGUUGACGUGAGAACCAAACAACAGUGCCAUACUAUCGUUGCUAUUAAUUUUGCACACUAAGUGGC